rnacentral:lncRNA from 1 species
UGACUGGUGAUAUUCAAUGUUUGGCUAGUAAAUAGCUACUAUUGCCAUGCCAGACAGGGCUUUUAGAUUAUGGUAGCCCCACUCCUAUGGCUGGUGAUAUUCAAUGUUUGGCUAGUAAAUAACAACUAUUCCCAUGCCAAACAGCUAGUGAACUUUUUUUGUCAAAUGUUGCAGUUACGUCUAUUUUGUAAAUAUGAAUAUUCUACCCUUGCCCCAACCUCCCAAUGUUAGUGUUUUUAAGCUCUAUCUCCCUCUUACCCAAUUAUUACUAUUAUUUAAUAAAAUUGUAUUAACUUAAAGUACUGUAGGGCUAGUGAAUUUUUAAUGGUGGGUAGUAAAUGUUGAUUUUAUUAAAACAAUCUAGAAGCCCUGUGUACACUACAUUUUUACUGGUCAUUUGAGCUGAAUUUAUUGGCCAUAGGUUAGAAUGUUGAUGGUUGCAUUAUUAAAAAAUACACUAUUUGCCAUUCAUCCAUCGUUUAUUAGCUGUAGGUUAGAAUGUUGAUGGUUGCAUUAUUAAAAAAUACACUAUUUGCCAUUCAUCCAUCGUUUAUUGGCCAUAGGUUAGAAUGUUGAUGGUUGCAUUAUUAAAAAAUACACUAUUUGCCAUUCAUCCAUCGUUUAUUAGCUGUAGGUUAGAAUGUUGAUGGUUGCAUUAUUAAAAAAUACACUAUUUGUCAUUCAUCCAUCGUUUAGGACCACAGACAAAUCUUCGGAAAUCUGGAAUGAGGUCUUGUGGAAUGUCUUUUAGUUGAGAACAAAGUUGGUUAUAUGGUAUUCGUGUUACAUUUUAUGACAUCAUAUCUCAUUUGUAAACUCACAAAUAAAUAUGUUUUAUGAGAAUUUGGUACAGACCAUAGAAGUAUUUCUAAAUAAUGUGGACAAGUUUGACUUUAGAUGAAGAAUUUAAUACAUUUAUUGUGCCUUACUGAUAAUACCGUUAUGAAGGAAGGAAUAAGGGCUCUCGUUAAACACCCCUCAACAAUAUGGGAGUGCUGGCUUAUAGUAUUACCCUGGUCCUGAAACUGGGUUUAUUUCACUAUUCUUCUCAGUCUUGUUAGUGUUUCUGAUGGAACCUUAUAUUGAUAGGCAAAUUCAGUAAUACAUGUAUUCUUGUCUUGAGUAAAGUUAAAAAUUAGUUUCGGCAACUGGAUUUUAAAAACAACUUUUAUCAUGGAUAUAUUCAUGUAUGUACAAACGGGAAAACCUUGUUAAGUAGCCGUCUCAAAGAGUGUCAAAAUGUGACACCUUAAGUUAUGAGCAGCAGUGAAAACGUUUGUACAAUUAGGUACUGAAAGUGAAGACAAACCAAAUGUUUCUACAUCACUCAAAGCAUUUGGCACAAUUAUCCUUCAAGCUACUCUUCAGCCUUCAUACUUUCAUCAACUUGGUAGUUACCACAAAGGAAGACGUUCAAAUUCUGGAACCGACAAUAAUCACAAAUCAUACAUGGGUGAAUUUCAGUGGCAUUUUCACCUUCCUUGGUGAUAAACGUGAUGGCGGCUCUUUGUUCCAAUGUUGUACGAUUCACAGUUUCAGAAGAAUAGGAUACCAUUAAGCAAUAUGUAAAUGGUUAUGUUAUUGAAACACUUGACAUGUAUUAUGAAUGAACUAACUUCAAAGAAAAAAUCAAAACAUAUGAUGGUGUACCAAACUUUGGUAUCCUCCUACCAAAAAACCUUUUGUAAACAAUUUCAGUUUGCUUUGAGUAAUAAGAAAAAUAAGUGUUUUGGAAUAAAUAACUUAGUUCUACAACCUUUCUGACUGUACCUCAUAUGCUACGGGUUUGUACUAUACUGAAAAUGCAAUGCUCAGAUUUGUAGAUGUAUAAAGGAUAUGAGAAAAACUAAUAUUUGGCUGAUUUUUUUCUAGGCAAUAAAUAACAAAAGAAUUGUAUACAAUAUUAUUGUGUUCUGUAGCAGCCUCACACGUGAUUGCAAUAACUGAAAAUUGGGUUGUACGAUUUCAUCGGAGUUUAGUAUAUACCAAGAUUAUUUAUAAGAAGACGAGAUGGCCCCUUAAAGGUGUAGUAGCAUGGACAACUCCGACUAUAUGGCACAGCAGAAUAUUACCUUCAAAUUGUAAUUGAUGUAUUUAAUUUACAUGUACAGUGCUAUACUUCACUGAACCAUCUACAGUUGUCGCAUACCACUUGUUAGUCCCCUACCGGUCCAACCGGAGGGAACUUAGGUUAAAUCUUGGUCCUUCUGUCUGUCCUCCUAUCUCACAUAUACAUGUAGUUUUCCAGAUUAUUUUUUUGUUCACAAUGUCUUAUGAUAUUUAGCUGAAUUUCUGUAUAAUCUUUAUCAUGUACUGUUAGUAACUUACAGAUCAAGUUCGACUUUCAUGAUAAUUUACCUGGGUUUUUUUUUUAGAGUUAUGGUCCUUGAACGUUUUUUGCAGUGCCUCAAGAUACCGAGAUGAAAUAUUAUAUAUUGCUUUAUCAUGUACUGUUGCAGAUCAAGUUUAACUUUUGUGGUGAUUUAUGGCCCCUGAAUUUAGGAGAUAUGAAAAUUUGUUGUGGCCUGGUAGGGUACAUGUCAAUAUUGCCUUAGCAGUACUUUUGAAUUCUUGUUAGCAAUACAAAUGUAUUAAUAAUGGCUAUUGGUCAUAAAUCAGAAGAGACCCAUAUUGAAUUUUUAUUUUGCCAUAAAUUGACAGCGAUAUUUAGUCACCAAGGUGAACAUAAUUUCUUUUCCUAUAUUACCUGUCCUCAAAAUGAUCGGACCAGUCCACUUGCGUGGGGGGAGAUGCACUUGUUUUGAGGACAGGUAAUAUUUCUAAAAGAGAAAACACUUAAAGUUUUCUCCAUUUUGACAUAUAAUUUAGGAUUAGACACAACUUUGUAAUCUGUGAUACUGUGCUUUUAAGAUAGUUGGCUGCUUAAGUAGGGUUGACUAGUUCAUUUCGUCAAACGUUUUUUUACCUUUUAUUAUCUAGUACUCUGGGUACAUACAAGUUUUGGAAAUUUUGCAAAAUUAUGUAAUUUUCUAGGCUUGUAAAGUCGUGGAAUUUUUGUUUGGGUCAUAGAAAAUUACAAUUUGUUGAAAAUAAUUUCUUUUCCAUUUGAAACAACACAAGAAAAGAGACAAUUAGCAUGCUGUUGAUGAGCAUAAAUAAAAUCCUUGAAAUUUUUUUUUAAACAAGGUUGUGGAAAAUGCCUGUAAAGGUAAUUUAGUUUGAUGUUUAUGAACCCUGGUACUGUAACAGCAAGCAUUUUUCAUUACUUUAUAUUACAAAUGUACUGCAAAUGUUUGUUUUUAAAAAUACACUCUAUAAAAAAGUCUUUUAAAUUGUUUACGAAUAAAAUUUGUAUCAAAUAGAAAA